rnacentral:rRNA from 1 species
GAGCGGCGGACGGGUGAGUAAUACUUAGGAAUCUACCUAGUAGUGGGGGAUAGCUCGGGGAAACUCGAAUUAAUACCGCAUACGACCUACGGGAGAAAGGGGGCAACUUGUUGCUCUCGCUAUUAGAUGAGCCUAAGUCGGAUUAGCUAGAUGGUGGGGUAAAGGCCUACCAUGGCGACGAUCUGUAGCUGGUCUGAGAGGAUGAUCAGCCACACCGGGACUGAGACACGGCCCGGACUCCUACGGGAGGCAGCAGUGGGGAAUAUUGGACAAUGGGGGAAACCCUGAUCCAGCCAUGCCGCGUGUGUGAAGAAGGCCUUUUGGUUGUAAAGCACUUUAAGCAGUGAAGAAGACUCUUCGGUUAAUACCCGGAGACGAUGACAUUAGCUGCAGAAUAAGCACCGGCUAACUCUGUGCCAGCAGCCGCGGUAAUACAGAGGGUGCAAGCGUUAAUCGGAAUUACUGGGCGUAAAGCGAGCGUAGGUGGCUUGAUAAGUCAGAUGUGAAAUCCCCGGGCUUAACCUGGGAACUGCAUCUGAUACUGUCAGGCUAGAGUAGGUGAGAGGAAGGUAGAAUUCCAGGUGUAGCGGUGAAAUGCGUAGAGAUCUGGAGGAAUACCGAUGGCGAAGGCAGCCUUCUGGCAUCAUACUGACACUGAGGCUCGAAAGCGUGGGUAGCAAACAGGAUUAGAUACCCUGGUAGUCCACGCCGUAAACGAUGUCUACUAGUCGUUGGGUCCCUUGAGGACUUAGUGACGCAGCUAACGCAAUAAGUAGACCGCCUGGGGAGUACGGCCGCAAGGUUAAAACUCAAAUGAAUUGACGGGGGCCCGCACAAGCGGUGGAGCAUGUGGUUUAAUUCGAUGCAACGCGAAGAACCUUACCUGGUCUUGACAUAUCUAGAAUCCUGCAGAGAUGCGGGAGUGCCUUCGGGAAUUAGAAUACAGGUGCUGCAUGGCUGUCGUCAGCUCGUGUCGUGAGAUGUUGGGUUAAGUCCCGCAACGAGCGCAACCCUUGUCCUUAGUUACCAGCGGGUUAAGCCGGGAACUCUAAGGAUACUGCCAGUGACAAACUGGAGGAAGGCGGGGACGACGUCAAGUCAUCAUGGCCCUUACGACCAGGGCUACACACGUGCUACAAUGGUAGGUACAGAGGGCAGCUACACAGCGAUGUGAUGCGAAUCUCAAAAAGCCUAUCGUAGUCCAGAUUGGAGUCUGCAACUCGACUCCAUGAAGUAGGAAUCGCUAGUAAUCGCGGAUCAGAAUGCCGCGGUGAAUACGUUCCCGGGCCUUGUACACACCGCCCGUCACACCAUGGGGAGUUGGAU